GCAAGUCGAGCGCACCUUCGGGUGAGCGGCGGACGGGUUAGUAACGCGUGGGAAUAUACCCAAUGGUAAGGAAUAGCCUCUGGAAACGGAGAGUAAUACCUUAUGUGCCCUUCGGGGGAAAGAUUUAUCGCCAUUGGAUUAGCCCGCGUAAGAUUAGAUAGUUGGUGGGGUAAUGGCUCACCAAGGCGACGAUCUAUAGCUGGUUUGAGAGGAUGAUC
rnacentral:rRNA from 1 species